rnacentral:lncRNA from 1 species
CCUCCUUGUCCUUCUACUUCUUCUUUAAUAGUGCUCGAUGAGUCUUUUGAUUUCUCUUUUCUGGGAUCGCAAAAGAUCAUUAAUUGGAGGUGUUUCCUUAUGAGGCAUAGUCUUCUAAGAAUAGGACACAAGGUUAACCUCAUGAAUCUAGCUUGAGAUAUGUGGCCAGAUUUAUUCUCAGUUUGAAGUUUUGGCUCCUCCAAUUAACCUUGUUUAGAGUUUUCCCAGAGUUUCCUUGAUUGGCUCUCUUUCCUUCGUUGCAUGCUUGAGAAUCUUUAGCUCGUCUGAUUGAUUUGUCUUUCCUUCCUUGUUUCUUGUUUGAUUGAUUCUUUUUCCAUUUGGCAUGGAGUUUGAAUAACAUAGCAGUUGGCUUCCUCUGAUAUGCUUGUAUAAUUUUCUUUCCUUUCUUGCAUUCAUCAGAGCUAUUGCAAAUCUGCACACAAAGUGGGAUAACAUUAGCCAAGGUAUUUUUGAUUAUUGAUCAUUAUUAAAAUUCUAAACGUAACAUUUCAUAGGCGGUUGAAAACCAAGCAAGACUCUGAAUUAUAGCUUUAUCAACGGAUCCCCGAAGCCGCCUUGGAGUGCUUCACCGAGACACUGCU